rnacentral:rRNA from 1 species
UAGGGAAUCUUCCACAAUGGGCGAAAGCCUGAUGGAGCAACGCCGCGUGUGUGAUGAAGGGUUUCGGCUCGUAAAACACUGUUGUAAGAGAAGAAUGACAUUGAGAGUAACUGUUCAGUGUGUGACGGUAUCUUACCAGAAAGGAACGGCUAAAUACGUGCCCG